rnacentral:rRNA from 1 species
AUUGAACGCUGGCGGCAGGCCUAACACAUGCAAGUCGAGCGGAUGAAGGGAGCUUGCUCCUGGAUUCAGCGGCGGACGGGUGAGUAAUGCCUAGGAAUCUGCCUGGUAGUGGGGGAUAACGUCCGGAAACGGGCGCUAAUACCGCAUACGUCCUGAGGGAGAAAGUGGGGGAUCUUCGGACCUCACGCUAUCAGAUGAGCCUAGGUCGGAUUAGCUAGUUGGUGGGGUAAAGGCCUACCAAGGCGACGAUCCGUAACUGGUCUGAGAGGAUGAUCAGUCACCCUGGAACUGAGACACGGUCCAGACUCCUACGGGAGGCAGCAGUGGGGAAUAUUGGACAGUGGGCGAAAGCCUGGUCCAGCCAUGCCGCGUGUGUGGAGAAAGUCUUCGGAUUGUGAAGCACUUUAAGUUGGGAGGAAGGGCAGUAAGUUAAUACCUUGCUGUUUUGACGUUACCAACAGAAUAAGCACCGGCUAACUUCGUG